AUAGCUGAUGGUUUCCGAGAUUGCUAACCAUAACAGUUUAUAUCCUGAGAGUUGGGGAAGCAAAGGUUGAAGACUGUCUGCUGCAGGUGUUACAUACGUGGAAUAUUAACACACUGACGAACAACGAGUUUAUUGACGGCGCGUGAAAGAGGAACGACAAAGAAGCCCUUCUUGAACGAUGGGUGGAUUCAACGUUUCCUGCAAUGUCACCUAUCUGCCAGUCUUUCCUUCCACAAACUACACUUGGAGUUACCGCCCACCUAUUUAUGGACAGAAAUCAGAAAACGCCCAACCCCACGUGUAGGAUAUCCUGCGUGAGAUGAACGGAAGAGAAAGCUGGACUUAUUUGCACACGAAUCCACGUGAUAUAGCUUGUCUUUCUUUCACCAUCCAUUACGAGUGUGUGACAGGUUACAGACGGGUUGAGAGGGGAGAACAAUGUGUUGUGACCCUCAGUAUUGCCCUCCAGCUCAGCGCCUGGCUUCGGCUUCUUCUCCCAGCAGGCCGUGGGGGGCCUGGCCGCCGCCCCUCUGCCCGCCUCCCUCCCCUUCCUCACCCCUCCACCACCACCACCACCACCACCACCACCACCACCACCAGAAUCAAUCGCUCUGCGACACCAAACAAACGAUCCACUGAAGCCCAUGCAUCACAGUACAGUGCACCACCAACAAUGACCAGCCAUGUGGUUGAGAACUGAGUGGGGGCAGAGGGGGCGAGAGAAAGCUGGAGAGUUAUUACAGGUAAAUAUAAAAAUGAAAUGUGUGGGACAAGAAAGCAGAGAGAGGAGAAAAAAGCAAGUUUUGCCCGCACAUUGGUGCUGAACAUUUUGAAGAUGUGAUUACUAAUUGCCCUGCCAAUAUUGUGAUUACAGAUCAAAUUGCAAUUAUUUUUCUUCCAAACCCCAGGCCUGUACUUGUGGGUUCAGGCUGAAUCAUUUAAAGUUAAUACGAGACAGAGGCAGCUACUUAUUUUGUAUACGUUUUUUUAUUGAUGGUAGUGAUUAAGUGGUAAUGGGAACACAUUACUGGUU